UACGUAGGGGGCAAGCGUUGUCCGGAUUUAUUGGGCGUAAAGAGCGUGUAGGCGGUUUGGUAGGUCCGUUGUGAAAACUCGAGGCUCAACCUCGAGACGCCGGCGGAAACCAUCAGGCUAGAGUCCGGAAGAGGAGAGUGGAAUUCCUGGUGUAGCGGUGAAAUGCGUAGAUAUCAGGAGAAACACCGGUGGUGUAGACGGCUUUCUGGACCGUAACUGACGCUGAGACACGAAAGCGUGGGUAGCAAACAGG
rnacentral:rRNA from 1 species